ACCCCAGUCAUUAGAAACUGACUGUCUAAGUUCUUUAAACAUUCUCAGAAAAUCUCUACCUCCUCUACCCGGCUGAACCACCUCAACCGAAGAAGCUCCACCGCCUUCACCAAACAACUGUUUCGGCAGCUUCACAGCACCAUCCAACAUCCUAGAAGCCACAUCUGUGCUCGUAGCAAGCGGUAACUUCCCUUGCGCUUGAAGAAAAACCUUCAAUUCAUCACUGUUCCUGAUCACAGGAUGUGCAACAAGCCUACGCAAAUACUUCUCCAAUGCAACUCUUCUCUGCUCCACAAACUCUUGCUUUUGCAUCACUUGACUCUCAACUAUACUCUUAUCUGGCCUCGGUGGAAUGCAGAAACCUCUAUAAGACUCAGCUAAUCUAUCAGCCAAUGUAACAAUGUCUCUGAAUCUUCUCCUCACGCUAAACUCCGAUCCACCGUAGUCAGAGAGAUUCGUUCUAGUUGUAAUCUGGUAAGUGAUGUAAGUACUUCCUCCAGGAAUCAUUGAAUUUGUGGCCUCUUGCUCUUUCUGAGGGUUAGAAA